CUCGUAGUUGGAUUUCGGGUGGGUUCCAGCGGUCCGCCUAUGGUGAGUACUGCUGUGGCCCUCCUUUCUGUCGGGAACGGGCUCCUGGGCUUCACUGUCCGGGACCUGGGUUCGACGAUGAUACUUUGAGUAAAUUAGAGUGUUCAAAGCAAGCCUACGCUCUGAAUACUUUAGCAUGGAAUAUCGCGAUAGGACUCUGGCCUAUCUCGUUGGUCUGUAGGACCGGAGUAAUGAUUAAGAGGGACAGUCGGGGGCAUUCGUAUUUCAUUGUCAGAGGUGAAAUUCUUGGAUUUAUGAAAGACGAACUACUGCGAAAGCAUUUGCCAAGGAUGUUUUCAUUAAUCAAGAACGAAAGUUGGGGGCUCGAAGACGAUUAGAUACCGUCGUAGUCUCAACCAUAAACGAUGCCGACUAGGGAUUGGAGGAUGUUCUUUUGAUGACUUCUCCAGCACCUUAUGAGAAAUCAAAGUUUUUGGGUU
rnacentral:rRNA from 1 species